rnacentral:rRNA from 1 species
UACGUAGGGGCCAAGCGUUGUCCGGAUUUAUUGGGCGUAAAGAGCUCGUAGGCGGUUCGGCAAGUCAGCUGUGAAAUCUCCACGCUCAACGUGGAGGGGUCAGCUGAUACUGCUGUGACUCGAGUCCGGUAGGGGAGUGUGGAAUUCCAGGUGUAGCGGUGAAAUGCGUAGAUAUCUGGAGGAACACCGGUGGCGAAGGCGGCAUUCUGGACCGACAUUGACGCUGAGGAGCGAAAGCCAGGGGAGCAAAGCGGG